CUAUUUUUCUGGGGGGGCCAGUGGGCUGUCAACCAAUAUGCGCCCCUAUAAUGUUACGCUUGAUACACGAGGGCAGACGGUACGAGCCGAGGUUUGUCUAGGGGGGUCCGGGGUCAUGCCCCCCAGGAAAAUUUUUGAAUUUAGAGUCUCUGAAAUGCCAUUUCCUUGACUUUGGGGGAAGAUUUGACAGAAAUCUGAUGGUCAGGAAACGACAUUAUAACGUGUCGAAAUUUGAAAUUUGGUUAGAAUUUAGUAGUAGUACUUCAAGCGAUUAAUCUAAUCCCAAUUCUAUUCUCUACUGAUCUAGUGAUCUGAAUACAUUUACAACUUACAGCUCUUUUAUACAAUAACACACGGACCCCACGCAUAUAUGCAUUUUAAGGUUUCCUUGCCUGCCUGCCAAAACUCAAAAGGGCGCGUUUCAGCAUUAUUUCAUUACUUAGGCCCCGUAUACCGGAUUGCUAUGGGAAUAGGUCAAGUUUUGUAGGUAUUGAAAGAUAGCCGUCGGAAGAUUUUUAAUCUCAGAGACCCAAAUAAACAUGCCAAUUCUGUCAAACUAAUAAGCAU